GCACGUUUAUCCUUUCGGACGCAUGAAGCUCAAUCAGGAAACGGGGAUUGAGU
ncrna:unclassified sequences Glutamine-II riboswitch (downstream peptide RNA)